rnacentral:rRNA from 1 species
UACGUAGGUGGCAAGCGUUGUCCGGAUUUACUGGGCGUAAAGAGCGCGCAGGCGGUCGUUCAAGUCGCGUGUGAAAGCCCCCGGCUCAACUGGGGAGGGUCACGCGAUACUGAUCGACUCGAAGGCAGGAGAGGGAAGUGGAAUUCCCGGUGUAGUGGUGAAAUGCGUAGAUAUCGGGAGGAACACCAGUGGCGAAGGCGACUUCCUGGCCUGUUCUUGACGCUGAGGCGCGAAAAGCGUGGGGAGCAAACAGGG